rnacentral:rRNA from 1 species
GACGAACGCUGGUGGCGUGCUUAACACACGCAAGUCGAACGAUGAUGCUGGAGCUUGCUCCAGUUGAUUAGUGGCGAACGGGUGAGUAACACGUGAGCAAUCUGCCCUUGACUCUGGGAUAACUGCGGGAAACUGUAGCUAAUACCGGAUACUUUCACCGGAAGGCAUCUUCUGGUGAUGAAAGAAUUUCGGUCAGGGAUGAGCUCGCGGCCUAACAGCUUGUUGGUGAGGUAACGGCUCACCAAGGCGACGACGGGUAACCGGCCUGAGAGGGUGACCGGUCACACUGGGACUGAGACACGGCCCAGACUCCUACGGGAGGCAGCAGUGGGGAAUAUUGCACAAUGGGCGCAAGCCUGAUGCAGCAACGCCGCGUGAGGGAUGAAGGCCUUCGGGUUGUAAACCUCUUUUAGCAGGGAAGAAGCGAAAGUGACGGUACCUGCAGAAAAAGCACCGGCUAACUACGUGCCAGCAGCCGCCGUAA